UUAGAGUGUGGGCUUCCAACCUA
rnacentral:siRNA from 1 species